UACGAAGGGGGCUAGCGUUGCUCGGAAUCACUGGGCGUAAAGCGCACGUAGGCGGCUUUCUAAGUCAGGGGUGAAAUCCUGGAGCUCAACUCCAGAACUGCCUUUGAUACUGGAGAGCUUGAGUCCGGGAGAGGUGAGUGGAACUCCGAGUGUAGAGGUGAAAUUCGUAGAUAUUCGGAAGAACGCCAGUGGCGAAGGCGGCUCACUGGCCCGGUACUGACGCUGAUGUGCGAAAGCGUGGGGAGCAAACAGGG
rnacentral:rRNA from 1 species